UUCGAUUCUUGGUGUGGGAGGAAUUAACCCCUUCCGUGCCGGAGCUAACGCGUUAAGUCGACCGCCUGGGGAGUACGGCCGCAAGGCUAAAACUCAAAGAAAUUGACGGGGGCCCGCACAAGCGGAGGAGCAUGUGGCUUAAUUCGAUGCAACGCGAAGAACCUUACCCAGACUUGACAUAUACCUGCACGCUCUGUGAAAGCAGAGCUCUUUCGAAGGUGGUAUACAGGUGCUGCAUGGCUGUCGUCAGUUCGUGCCGUGAGGUGUUUGGUUAAGUCCAGCAACGAACGCAACCCUUGUGAUUAGUUGCCACCGGAGGUGCAAAUCUCCGAGCACUCUAAUCAGACUGCCCGUGCAAGCGGGAGGAAGGUGGGGAUGACGUCAAGUCAGUAUGGCCCUUACGUCUGGGGCUGCACACGUGCUACAAUGGCCGGUACAGAAGGUUGCAAUACCGCGAGGUGGAGCUAAUCCCCAAAACCGGCCCCAGUUCGGAUUGGAGUCUGCAACUCGACUCCAUGAAGUUGGAUUCGCUAGUAACGGCGUAUCAGCUACGACGCCGUGAAAUACGUUCCCGGGCCUUGUACACACCGCCCGUCACAUCAUGAAAGCCGUCUGCACCCGAAGUCACUGAUCCAACCCGCAAGGGAGGAAGGUGCCGAAGGUGUGGGUGGUGAUUGGGAUGAAGUCGUAACAAGGUAGCCGUAA
rnacentral:rRNA from 1 species